rnacentral:rRNA from 1 species
AUGGCGGAGGCUGAUACGCUGGAUGGGUUCACCGGCAAGCUCGGUGGCAUGGUGGCGCGCUUCGCGGGGCUCAGGUCGACACUGGACGACGCCACGAUGGUGAAGAAGCUCCUCGAUUCUGUGCCGGACCGCCUGUACGCGGUAGUGGCCGGAAUCGAGCCGUUCUGUGACGUCUCCACCAUGGCGUUCAAGAAGGCGCUGGGUCGCCUGAAGGCCUUCGACGAGCGGCUACGACGACGUGGACAAGCUGGCGGCGAGCGGGCGGACGGACAACUCAUGUACACGGCGACGCAGUGGCGGGCGCGGGAGCGGCAG